rnacentral:misc_RNA from 1 species
AAGUCGUAACAAGGUUUCCGUAGGUGAACCUGCGGAAGGAUCAUUACAACGUAUCCAACGUAAACAAACGCGAACUUCCCUUUGGGACGCGGGACCAAAUGCAGGCAGCUGCUUUGGUUAUGAAGUUAGUAGGCUGAACUGCUAACAGAGUGUUUCGUCGAUGGAGGCUUGCCUGGACAGUCCAGGCUUGCCUGAAACACCAGUUCUUGGCCCGGAUUAGUUCUUUGUGAACGUGUCCGAACUUCGCCUGCCCCAAAGUGUAUUUAACCAUCGGUUCUAUUGUACCUUUCAUUAACCCUGUAAACUUUUGUACUGAACUUUGAAAGCAUUGCGGCAGUCCUUGUUGGCUUCGGUCACGGAUCGCUUAACGCUUUGUCUUUCUACAAUUUACGUAAUUAAGAACAACUCUUAACAACGGAUAUCUUGGCUCUC